rnacentral:rRNA from 1 species
CGCAAUUGGUGGAUGCCUAGGUGCAAGUUGCCGAAGAAGGACGCGUAAGACCGCGAAAGUCGUCGGGGAGCUGUCAAAAAGCUGUGAUCCGUCGGUGUCCGAAUGGGAAAACCCUGUCGCUUUGGCGACAACCCGUGCCCUAAGAGGCGCUCCCAACAGUCAACAAUCAACACGUCUUGGCUUGGUUUGACAAGACUUACAACUAGUUGUUAGUUGGUGAUUGGUAGUUGGUUGUUGGGAGUGCCUAUAAGGCACGUGGAGGGAACCGUCUGAACUGAAACAUCUAAGUAAGGCGUGGAAGAGAAAACAAUAGUGAUUCCGUUAGUAGCGGAGAGCGAAAGCGGAAGAGCCCAAACUCACCUUGUGCUUCGCACAAGGUGAGGGUUGUAGGAGCCCAACAUGAGAAUUUGUCAGGUAGCAGAACAGUCUGGAAUGUCUGGCCAUAGAAAGUGAAAGCCUUGUAUGCGAAACUUGACAGAUUCUCUAGGGAUUUCCUGAGUACCACGGUGUAAAUACACUGUGGGAAGCUGGGGGAACCAUCCUCCAAGGCUAAAUACAACUUGCAACCGAUAGCGAACUAGUACCGUGAGGGAAAGGUGAAAAGAAGGGCGGGACGCCCAGUGAAAUAGAAACUGAAACCAAUUGCGGACAAACCGGCAGAGGGCGAAGCCCUCUGCAACUGACAACAAGCCAAAGUAUUGGCUUUCAACUAUCAACUAACAACAAAACAUAAGUGUUGAUAGUUGGUUGUUUAAAGUUGUGGGUUGCGGAAGGCUUUGCCUGAUGCCGUGCCUAUUGAAGAAUGAGCCGGCGAGUUGCUCAUACGCUGCAAGCUUAAGCCCUUUGGGCGUAGGCGUAGGGAAACCGAGUGCGAAUAGCGCGACUAGUAGCGUGUGGCAGACCCGAAACCAGGUGAUCUAUCUAUGAGCAGGGUGAACCUUACCGAGAGGUAGGGGGAGGCCCGAACCCGUUGAUGUUGCAAUAUCAUGGGAUGACUUGUGGAUAGGGGUAAUAUGCCAACCGAACCUGGAGAUAGCUGGUUCUCCCCGAAAGGUCUAUAGGGACCGUGCCGGGCGAGGCGUUAUUGGGGGUAGAGCUACUGGAUGGAUAAGGGAGGGUAACUGACUUUAUUCAACCAAACUCCGAAUACCAAUGUACGCUAUCCCGGUAGACAGUCACAUCGGGCUAAGCUGAUGUGGCUAAAGGGAAACAUCCCAGACUCUCGGCUAAGGUCUUUAAGUUUCCGCAGAUUUUUCUGCGGCGGUGAUUGCGAGUUUCUCGCUUUCGCUGCAGCUAAGUUUGAAAGGAAGUUUUCUUCUUCAGACAGCUAGGAGGUUGGCUCAGAAGCAGCCAUCCUUUAAAGAAAGCGUAACAGCUCACUAGUUGAAGGGGGAAGCGCCUAAAAUUUAUCGAGGAUAAGCUGAACACCGAAGCCAGAGAUCUCGUCCUUUGGACGAGCAAAUUCGAAGCACUAAUAUCGAAAUUCUAAAAAAUAUUUUUGUGAAUAUUUUUGUGUUUUGUUUAGAAUUUCGUAUUUAUAAUUUCGGAUUUUCUCGACCAGAGGUCGAGGUGGUAGGGGAGCGUUCCAAAAGCAGUGAAGUCAAAUCGUGAGGUUUGGUGGAGCUUUUGGAAGUGAGAAUGCCGGCAUGAGUAGCGUACAAUCUCGGUGAGAAUCCGAGACGCCGAACACCCAAGGUUUCCGCUCAGACGUUCGUCGGGAGCGGGUUAGUCGGUACCUAAGGCAAGUCCCGAUUGUAUCGGGAGUAGCUGAUGGAUGACUGGUUAAAAUUCCAGUAUUUAUUUUGAAUCGCCAAACCUUGUGCUCUGCACAAGGUAGCUGGGGGUUGACAGGACGGGAUGUCCAAGGCCUACUUGUGAAUAUAGUAGGUGCAAGCUGUAAGGAAGGGUUGGUUGGAAAAUCCGCUUACCUGUUUAUUCAAGCAGUGAUGCAAAGUCUUGCGAGAGCAAGGCGAUUUUGGCGCAUUCUGUCUUUCAAAAAAGGCUCGCAGCGAGAUUCAAAAUAAGCCGUACCGUAAACCAACACAGGUGGGUUGGACGAGUAGUCUAAGGCGGGCGAGAGAAGGAGGCUUAAGGAACUCGGCAAACAAGCUGGACGUAAGUUCGCAAGAUGUCCUACCUCGGUGCACAGCACCGAGCUACCAACUAACAACAGCCAACAACCAACGAAAUAGUUUUUUGUUGUAGGUUGUCUGUUUUGUGUUGGUGGUUGAGUGCUGUGCACUUGGGGUCGAAGCUAAAGUUUGUCAGUCGACUGUUUAUCAAAAACACAGGUCCGUGCAAAGGCGUAAGCCGAAGUAUACGGGCUGACGCCUGCCCAGUGCCGGUAAGUUAAGGGGAGGUGUGCAUAGCACACAACUUUCAACAACCAACAAUCAACCGACAACUAAAGGGUUUGAGAUUGGGAGUUGAUGGCUGUGCGCUAUGCGCACCGAACUCAAGCUCCGGUAAACGGCAGCAGUAACUAUAACUGUUCUACGGUGGAACUAAGCCGCCGUAGUAAAACCUAGCUAUAUGCUGGAAAAUCCUGUUAUUCGAGAACUACUAUGGUAUAUUUUUUCCGUGGGGAAUGUAUACCAAGUAAAAAAGUUCAUCGUAGGGAUAAUCAGCAGGAAAGACCGAGUUUGGAAGUGGGAAGUUAGAUGUGUGAAGCUGGAUUUACGAAGUGGGAUGUGAGAUAGUUAAUUAAUGAUUACUAGCUUUUUGGAUUUAGAUGUCUACAAAGAAUCUUUUCAACUUUCUUUGGAGAUUGAAGAGAUUGUAGGAAGACAUCCAAAAAGUGAGAGAUAUCUUUUAGUUGACCAAUUAAAGCGUGCGUCUCGAGCAAUUCCAGCGUUAAUUGCGGAGGGAUAUGCAAAGAGGGAAACUCUGGCGGUAUUUAAAAAGAUGUUGAGAGACGCAAUUGGGGAAGCUAACGAGAUGAUUAAUCAUCUGGCUUUCUCGAGAGCUAAAGGCUACAUAAAACCUGAGAGAGCAGAGAGGUUGAUUGAAAGAUACCAUAUAGUAGGUAAGAAGUUAUCUAAACUAAAAGAUAAUUGGAGAAACUAUUAAUCUCAUCUCACACUUCAUUUUCCAUCUUCCCAUCUCACAUUUCUUAUUUCUAAAUCGGAAUCCUCAGAGACUAUACGCUGGGGCUUGAGAUUUUCUCAAGUAAGAUAUAGUCCGAUCUCCAAUGAGAAUUGGAGUUAACAUUUGAGCGAAGUUCCUUGUCGGGUAAGUUCCGACCUGCACGAAAGGCGUAACGAGCUGACAACUGUCUUAAGCCUUCACUCGGCGAAAUUGCGAUGGCUGUGAAGACGCGGCCUACUUCCACCAGGACAAAAAGACCCCGUGGAGCUUUACUGCAGUUUAGUAUUGAUUUGGGUGUUUCAAUUGUCAAGAAUAGGAGGGACCCCUCCUUUGGAGGGGAACAGUGUGAUACCUCUCUUUGAGGCGCUGCAAAUCUUACCUGAGAACCUUGCAUACAGGUUCGGGGAAAGUGCUAGAUGGGCAGUUUUACUGGGGCGGUACCCUGCUAAAUUGUAACGCAGGGGCACAAAGGUCAGCUUGCUGCGAAUGGAAACCGCAGUGGACGUGCAAAGGCAUAAGCUGGCUUAACUGCGAGUGCGACGGCACAAGCAGGUGCGAAAGCAGGUCUUAGUGAUCCUCCGAUGUCAUGUGGGUGACGCGGAGCUUAACGGAUAAAAGCUACCCCGGGGAUAACAGAGUAGUCGCGCCCGAGCGUCCACAGCGACGGCGCGGAUCGCUACCUCGAUGUCGGCUCACCGCAUCCUGGGGCUGGAGAAGGUCCCAAGGGUUGGUCUGUUCGCCCAUUAAAGCGGUACGCGAGCUGGGUUCAGAACGUAAAUUACGUUGCGUUCUACUACAGUAAUGUAGUAUUAUGAAAUCGACUAAAAUCGGUGAAACCUGUUUUUGCUUUUAAAGCAAAUAUGGCAAUACCGAGGGUAAGUCGAAAGCUCUGUGACUCUAAAGAAGGAGGAAUUAGCUUAUAUCGCAGGUUUUUUGGACGGAGAUGGAUGUAUAAUGCUCCAGUUGAUAAAUCGUAAGGAUUAUAAACUUGGUUAUCAAAUCAGAGCAAGCAUCGUCUUCUAUCAAAAAACCGAAAAAAGAGAAUUCCUUUCUUGGCUAAAGACAAUAUUUAAAGUUGGUUAUAUUCGUGAUAGGAAAGAUAAUAUCAGUGAAUAUACUAUUGUGGGAGUUAAUCCUGUAAAGAAGGUUUUGUUUCUGCUUCUUCCUUAUUUAAGAUUGAAGAAGGAACAAGCCAUUCUUGCUUUAUCAGUUUUGUCUAAGAUGCCAGGAAGUGGAAGAGAUAUGAAGCCUGAACUCUUGCUUAGUUUGUCUUGCAAGGUCGAUGAGUUUGCAAGAUUGAAUUAUUCAAAGAGGCGGACUAAUAUCUCUUCAAAGGUAAGAGAAUUUUUGGAGUUACACAGGCUUUUGAAUCCCGUAGAGACUGAUCCGAAAGGAGAGACUCAUUUUAAAUGAGUAAUAUGUCGACUCCCAUCAUAAAUUCCAAGGAUAUGGUUUUAUAACCUAAAGUCCGGAGAUGGGAUGAAGAUAUAGUCCAUGCCAACUCGAAAGAGUGGAUUAUCAUGCGCGAGACAGUUCGGACUCUAUCCGGUGGAAGCGUUGAAUCUUGAGGGGAGCUCUCCUCAGUACGAGAGGACCAGGAGGGAGGAAUCCCUGGUGUUCCGGUUGUUGCGUCAGCAGCAUUGCCGGGUAGCCACAUUCCUUGUGGAUAACCGCUGAAAGCAUCUAAGCGGGAAGCCCACCCCAAGAUCAGGAUUCGUUAUAGACCCCUGGAAGAAUACCAGGUUAAUCGGCUGGCAGUGGAAGAGGCGCAAGCCUUUAAGCUUACCAGUGCGAAUUGGUCGAAGAC